GACGAACCGUGCGAACGUUAUUCGGAAUCACUGGGCUUAAAGCGCGUGUAGGCGGGCCGCCGCGUCGGCUGCUGAAAUCCCCCGGCUCAACCGGGGAACGGGCACCGAUACGGGCGGCCUCGAGGGGGGUAGGGGGGUCUGGAACUUCCGGUGGAGCGGUGAAAUGGGUUGAGAUCGGAAGGAACGCCCGUGGCGAAAGCGAGGCCCUGGACCCUUUCUGACGCUGAGACGCGAAAGCCAGGGGAGCGAACGGG
rnacentral:rRNA from 1 species